CAGCUCGUGUCGUGAGAUGUUGGGUUAAGUCCCGCAACGAGCGCAACCCUUAUAACUAGUUGCCAAUAUUAAGUUAGGAACUCUAGUUAGACUGCCGUGGAUAACACGGAGGAAGGUGGGGAUGACGUCAAAUCAUCAUGCCCCUUACGUCUUGGGCUACACACGUGCUACAAUGGCUAUUACAAAGAGCAGCGAGCUGGUAACAGUAAGCGAAUCUCAAAAAGAUAGUCUCAGUUCGGACUGUGGGCUGCAACCCGCCCACACGAAGUCGGAGUUGCUAGUAAUCCCGAAUCAGAAUGUCGGGGUGAAUGCGUUCUCGGGUCUUGUACACACCGCCCGUCACGCCAUGGGAGUUGGGAGUACCCAAAGUCGGUGAGCUAACCUGCAAAGGAGGCAGCCGCCUAAGGUAAGACCAAUGACUGGGGUGAAGUCGUAACAAGGUAGCCGUAUCGGAAGGUGCGGUUGGAUCACCUC
rnacentral:rRNA from 1 species